rnacentral:rRNA from 1 species
GUAGGUGGCAAGCGUUGUCCGGAAUUAUUGGGCGUAAAGCGCGCGCAGGCGGUUCUUUAAGUCUGAUGUGAAAGCCCACGGCUCAACCGUGGAGGGUCAUUGGAAACUGGAGGACUUGAGUACAGAAGAGGAAAGCGGAAUUCCACGUGUAGCGGUGAAAUGCGUAGAGAUGUGGAGGAACACCAGUGGCGAAGGCGGCUUUUCUGGUCUGUAACUGACGCUGAGGCGCGAAAGCGUGGGGAGCAAACAGGGAUUAGAUACCCUGGUAGUCCACACCGUAAACGAUGAGUGCUAAGUGUUAGGGGGUUUCCGCCCCCUUAGUGCUGCAGCUAACGCAUUAAGCACUCCGCCUGGGGAUACGGCCGCAAGGCUG